UUUUACUGUAAUGAAGUUGAUCGGGACUGUAGAGGCAUUUUGUUGUGUUCUAUGAAAAACAAGUCAGACCAGAUAGAUUACUCUUUUUUUUCCAUCAAAGAAAAAAAAGUCAAAUUUCUUUCUUUUUUGUUAACUUUCAAAGAAAGGAAAACUGAGUCUAAUUAGAUAAGAAGUAUUAAGAUUUUAUUUUGAUCUUUUUUUGAGUCAUGAUUUUAAAAGUGUUUGUUUGAAGGUUAUAGCACCUUAUUAACUGACUAAAGAACUUCUGUCCUGACCUAGAGUCCAACAGAACAGAGUGAGUGAGAGGGCCGGGCUCAAAGAGAGAGAGAAAAAGAGAAACUGAUAGAACGAAAAAGCAGCAUAUCAUUUAGGGGAGGAGUUUACAUACUUCGUUCAGGAAAAGCUCUAAACUCAUGCCACAAGGACAUACACACACACACAGACAUACACACCCCUUGCCCUACAGGAGCAUUACAGACUAUAAUGUUUAGUUUUAGUCAGUUUGAAAGGAACUUUUCGCCAACUCCACAGAGCAGAUACUGACAGAUCUAUGCGGAACAAACACACAGCCGGGUGUCAGCUGGACAGAGCGAUAUCCCCCGCUGAGCUCGAUGCCUUAUGGAAUGACCCUCCAUACGCUUUAGCAGCCGUCAGUGAGCUCUUUUCGCCCAAUGAUGCCAUGACAGCUGGUAAGAGGAUUUCUUGAGUAAAGCAUGAGUGUUUCAGUAAAAAACAAUGUUAGAAUAUAUAGGAAUCUAUAGGAAAGAGUUUUACAUGAUUCUAAUAUAAAUGUAUUUUGUGUUUAAUAAAUUAUUUUAAACAACUGUCUGAAACA
ensembl:lncRNA